CGUCUUUUUUUCUAUAGCAGUUAAUCGCGAUUCUUGUCUGAUAAUUUCUUUUUUGAAAGGGUAAUUCCUUAGUAGAAAACAUAAUAAGUACCUUUUUAAUUAGAACUUCAAUAAUUGCAGAUUUGUAUACAAAUUUUCAACCUCAAUUUUAUACACUUUAAAAGUGAAAUUUUCAAAAAUCCUUCCUUGUACAAAAAAUACCUACUGUUAAAAUUUUUAUUUCCAGUGGUUUAGGCUGUGCGUUGAUAGAUCUGAUCAAUAUGUC